CCUCAGACACACACACACACACACACACACACUUGUCUGAGCUUUGUCGCCUGGCUGGUGGAUUAAGUGUGAGCAUUUGUGAAAUCAUUUGACCCCCCGGGGCCGCAGAGAGGAGUGUAAACGCUGCGUGUGUGUCUGAGGUGUGUGUGUGUGUGUCUGAGG